UCUUGGCUAUUAGGCUACUGUUUCUGGAACGCAUUUCUGCCGCUGCAUAAAACCACGCACGGUUAUUGAUCGAAUUAUCCGUUGGAAUCGUUACUGGAAACAAACAGGCUCCUUUAAUUUACUCUAAGUUGGACCUGAUGAGCUUUUACACCGCCCAGCAAUGAUCAUUGAUCGAUCGAAGUAGAAAUCGAGUGCGCAAAGUACAACCUUGGCUGUGCCGCUUGGGAGGAUAUUUUUCAAUUUCACCACAUCAUACCUUCUGUUGUGAUCCAGGAACGACCAGAGACUGGAGCUACUAAAUAAGAAAUCAGACAAGAUCGAUGACUAAAUCAAGAAUUUAAAUCUAGUUUCAGUUAAUGCAUGUCUGCCGGUCUUCGUACGCCCGACGACCGCAAUCGAACCCAUGGUAACGGGCGUUUGUUAUGAUUCGUCUAUAGAAGAAUCCCCAUGAAAUCUUACUAUCCUACACAGUUCAAAAUGACUUAACACAAACGCCUGCCAGUAUUAUUACAGCGCAACCAUCAUUCCGAGCAACAGUCGUCCCGUACCCGUCGUGCGAAAUAGUUGUGCACAAGAAAUGGUUGACGAUACGGAAGGCAACGGAAUAGAUUUGAAGAAAGAUGGCUUUUUAAAUAAACCUUUGGAGAGCAGCAAGAGCAGUAAAUUCAGUAAGUUUCGAAUCACUGUAGAGCCGUUAGGUUUUCUAUACCUCAUUGCCAACAUCAUACAGUCGAUUGUCACGCCUAAUCUGUUUCUUUACAAAGUUUGCGCGGUCAAUUUCCAAGUCAACGCCACACUCUGCGAUCCCCGUAGUAAAAUGAACCGCAACAAUACUCAACUCGCGGAUCGUGUUCAGAGUUACGUCAGUACUUUGAAUAUUUACGGCUCGCUCAUUGACAACAUUCCUUCAAUUUUCCUGAUGCUUUUUCUAUUACCAUGGAGCGACAAGCACGGAAGAAAGCCUUUGAUGAUAGCUCCUCUGAUCGGACAUGUCCUGUGUUCUUUAUCGGACAUUACCAAUUAUUACAUUGAAUCAUUACCGGCUGAAUAUCUUUUGAUAUCCACAGUUUUUGUUGGCCUCACAGGUGGUAGAGGUAUCUAUUUUAUGGUAUUACAUAGAUAUAUUAUUGAUAUUACAACUACGGAGGCGAGGACUUGGCGUUUUUCGCUCCUUGGCGGAAUAGUUGGAAUUUCAGUACCAAUUGGAAAUUUAAUUAGUGCGUACAUUUACGCAAGCGGAGGAAAUAUAGCCAUAUGGGGAACGGCACUGGCUUUGUACACUGUCGCAUUCCUCUACAUCAUAUUUUUCUUGGAAGAUUCAUGUGGUACCAGUUCCAUCGUUGAAUCGACUGACACGCAGAUUAUCGAGAAAUGGAAAUACGGCAAACUGGAAAAUAUGAGACUAUUACCGAGGGUCAAAGAAAGUUGCGUAGGCAUAUUAAAUAAUCUAAUUCUGUGCUUUACUGAGACCUUUAAACGACGACCAGGAUAUAAAAGAGCAUGCCUGUCGAUUCUGAUGGCUUCAAUGUGUAUUUUGAUAUUUGCUAACGCAAACAAUGGCGUUGGUUAUUUGUUCACCAGGAAGAAAUUCGGCUGGGAUGCUCCGGAUUGGGCCUUUUAUGUUACAAUCGCUAGUGCUGCUGCUGUGUGUGGAACUUUAAUCCUUCUCCCCAUUCUAAGUGGAUACUUUAAAGUGCGUGAUGGUAUAAUAGGGGUUAUUUCACUUUUAGCUAACAUAGGCUCAAAUCUGACUGUCGCAUUUGCCGUGUCUCCGUUAAUGAUGUAUUUGUCAUCUAUUGGUCACUUCUUUUCUCCGCUUGCUGGAAUCAUAAUCCGUUCCAUAUUCUCCAAAACAUUGAGCAGCGAUGAAUUGAGCUAUGCUUAUUCAGUAUUAGCUUCGAUUGAAGCUGUCGUGCCUUUAAUAACGUCUCCCUCCAUUAAUCUCAUUUACCGGGCAACUCUAAGUUUCUUUCCGGGAUGCAUUUUUUUAGUGAGAGCCUGCACGCUUGUGGUUCUAUUGGUCUUAUUCGGGAUUUUACUUCUACUGAUUUGGAAAGAUUCGCAAUUAAACCAAGUCCAACCUUUUCGAAACCGCGAUGAAAAACAGACUCCUUUGAAAAGACCUAUUACCGUCCAGCAACUACCGGACUGAAUUUUAAAUUUCAUUCCAGCAGUAAUCGUUCACCAAUCACUAACUUUAUUUAAGUAUUAAAAUUUUGCACAAUUUUGCAACUGUCUGAAAAAUGUGUUUUUUUCCCAAUCGGUGAGGGUUUUGGAUCUUCUGACUAAGCAAUACGAGACAGAGGUCAGGAAAUGGAUAACUCCAUGGAAAAAUGAGAAGAAAAAGUCUCGUUUAUUCACCCGACCCGAGAGUCCACCUUCAAGUCCCCUCCCACCCUCCGCUAUAGCAAUCGGCAGACGCCCUAAGAAUAUAAAGGAUGGUGGUAGGGAGGAAGGUUUGAAUUCAUCCGUUCAUUCAUUGAACUACACAUUUGAAAUAAAUCUUAUUAUUUAAAAGGGGUUGAUCAAAAUUUUAAGAAUAAUGGUGAAAUAUAAAAAUUGUUCAAGAAUAAAAACAUUUCCAAUAUUCCGUAUUUAGCGCAAUUAAACAACGGAAAUGUAACGUAACAGACACGCAACACAAAUGUUAUACUUUCAUCAAGGAAGAGAAAGCGAGGAUAGGAACUAAUGUGUGCCUAUUUCAGCGUAAAAACAAUGUUCACACAGGUGUAUAGAAGGGGAAGAGCCCCGUGAGGGUGAAGUGAAAAGAUCAGUGAACGGUGUAGUCGAUGCUGCCCACUGGCUCCAGGUG